GACAGAGGCCUCGAGCGUUAGGCGGAAUCACUGGGCUUAAAGCGUGUGUAGGCGGAGGCGUAAGUACCUUGUGAAAUCCCACGGCUCAACCGUGGAACUGCUGGGUAUACUGCGUCUCUUGAGUCACUCAGGGGCGAGCGGAACAGAUGGUGGAGCGGUGAAAUGCGUAGAUAUCAUCUGGAACGCCAAUGGUGAAGACAGCUCGCUGGGGGUGUACUGACGCUGAGACACGAAAGCCAGGGGAGCGAACGGG
rnacentral:rRNA from 1 species